rnacentral:rRNA from 1 species
AGAGUUGAUCCUGGCUAGGACGAACGCUGGCGGCGUGCCUAACACAUGCAAGUCGAGCGAGGAGAUCCUUCGGGAUGAUCCUAGCGGCGGACGGGUGAGUAACACGUGGGCAACCUGCCUCAUAGAGAGGAAUAGCCUUCCGAAAGGGAGAUUAAUACCUCAUAACAUUGCAGUUUCGCAUGGAACAGCAAUUAAAGGAGUAAUCCGCUAUGAGAUGGGCCCGCGGCGCAUUAGCUAGUUGGUGAGGUAACGGCUCACCAAGGCGACGAUGCGUAGCCGACCUGAGAGGGUGAUCGGCCACAUUGGGACUGAGACACGGCCCGGACUCCUACGGGAGGCAGCAGUGGGGAAUAUUGCACAAUGGGGGAAACCCUGAUGCAGCAACGCCGCGUGAGUGAUGACGGCCUUCGGGUUGUAAAGCUCUGUCUUCAGGGACGAUAAUGACGGUACCUGAGGAGGAAGCCACGGCUAACUACGUGCCAGCCGCGGC